rnacentral:rRNA from 1 species
CUGGCUCAGAUACAACGCUGGCGGCAGGCCUAACACAUGCAAGUCGAGCGGCAGCUGGAAAGUAGCUUUCUACUUUUGCACAGCGAGCGGCGGAGACAUGAGUAAUGCGUGGAAUAUUGCCCAGUCGAGGGGGAUAACAGUUGGAAACGACUGCUAAUACCGCAUACGCCUUAUGGGGGAAAGCAGGGGACCUUCGGGCCUUCCUCGAUUGGAUAUGCCCAGGUGGGAUUAGCUAGUUGGUGAGGUAAUGGCUCACCAAGGCGACGAUCCCUAGCUGGUCUGAGAGGAUGAUCAGCCACACUGGAACUGAGACAUGGUCCAGAUUCAUCCGGGAGGCAGCAGUGGGGAAUCUUGCACAAUGGGGGAAACCUUCACGCAGCCAUGCCGCGUGUGUGAAGAAGGCCUUUGGGUUGUAAAGCACUUUCAGAGAGGAGGAAAGGUUGAUGCGUAAUAGGUAUCAACCGUGACGUUACUCGCAGAAGAAGCACCGGCUAACUCCGUGCCAGCAGCCGCGGUAAUACGGAGGGUGCAAGUUUUAAUCGGAAUUACUGGGCGUAAAGCGCACGCAGGCGGUGGGUUAAGUUAGAUGUGAAAGCCCCGGGCUCAACCUGGGAAUUUCAUUUAAAACUGUCCUGGUAGAGUUUGGUAGAGGGGGGUUGAAUUCCAGGUGUAUCCCUGAAAUGCGUAGAGAUCUGGAGGAAUACCGGUGGGGAAGGCGGCCCCCUGGACAAAGACUGACGCUCAGGUCAGAAAGUGUGGGGAGCAAUCCGGAUUAGAUACCCAGUUAGUCCACCCUGUAAAAGAUGUCGAUUUGGUAGCCUGUGUCAAUGAGCAGUGGAUUCUGGAGCUAACGCGCGAAUCGACCGC